rnacentral:lncRNA from 1 species
UUCUUCUUCUCUGACACAAAGUUGUCUUUCAGACAAAGUUGUCCUUCUCUGACACAAAGUUGUCCCCGUUUCCCAACCGACGUCUACUGUAGCUCCUUCCCCUGACACAUACCUGACGCACCGAGAAGAGCAAAAUCGUCCAAGAGUUGCCACACAAACACCAAAUGUGGUAUGAAUGCUAAAUCCAUUUCAAAUGUGGUACAUUUGCUAGGAUUUUCC